CACACACACACACACACACACACACACACACACACACACACACACACACACACACUAUCAUUUCCUUGCAUGUGUGACAAGUGCAAUAUCUUUUAGGUUUGGUUUUAUUUUGAUGGGUGGAUUUCGGGUCCGAAGACACGCUCACUGCUGCUGAGCUGCACGUUGACACUGAGCACACCUGUGCCACGUAAUUAGUGCGGCGUGUUAGUGGCUUUAUAAAAAGCACAUUUGAGUGGGACUCUUUAAUUUCUCUUCCGUGUGCAUCCUGUGUGGGCAGAAAAGGUCUUUUGGCUAUAUUUUCCUGUUGCUUUACCCUGGUGCGGCCAAAGAGCGCUAGCUGCUGUUUUGUUACGGCUAUUUCAUUAGUUGCUGUUCUGCUUACUGCUGUUUUAUUUUGUUUGUUUAUGUAAAUAUCUUUCCUGUAGUGUUAAGGGAUUUUAUGGGACACAUGAUGGGAUGUUACCCCCUUGUGGUUAGGCAGGGGUUGUGGAAAAGCUAACAGAUUAAUAAAGGCUAUGCUUGGAUAACA